AAAUUGAAGAGUUUGAUCAUGGCUCAGAUUGAACGCUGGCGGCAGGCCUAACACAUGCAAGUCGAGCGGAAACGAGUUAUCUGAACCUUCGGGGAACGAUAACGGCGUCGAGCGGCGGACGGGUGAGUAAUGCCUAGGAAAUUGCCCUGAUGUGGGGGAUAACCAUUGGAAACGAUGGCUAAUACCGCAUGAUGCCUACGGGCCAAAGAGGGGGACCUUCGGGCCUCUCGCGUCAGGAUAUGCCUAGGUGGGAUUAGCUAGUUGGUGAGGUAAGGGCUCACCAAGGCGACGAUCCCUAGCUGGUCUGAGAGGAUGAUCAGCCACACUGGAACUGAGACACGGUCCAGACUCCUACGGGAGGCAGCAGUGGGGAAUAUUGCACAAUGGGCGCAAGCCUGAUGCAGCCAUGCCGCGUGUGUGAAGAAGGCCUUCGGGUUGUAAAGCACUUUCAGUCGUGAGGAAG
rnacentral:rRNA from 1 species